UUUGUAUAAUGGGUCAGCGACUUAUAUUCAGUGGCAAGGUUAACCAUCUAGGGGAGCCGUAGGGAAACCGAGUCUUAACUGGGCGUUCAGUCUCUGGAUAUAGACCCGAAACCAGGUGAUCUAGCCAUGGGCAGGUUGAAGGUUGAGUAACAUCAACUGGAGGACCGAACCGACUAAUGUUGAAAAAUUAGCGGAUGACUUGUGGCUAGGGGUGAAAGGCCAAUCAAACCUGGAGAUAGCUGGUUCUCCCCGAAAGCUAUUUAGGUAGCGCCUCGGACGAAUACUACUGGGGGUAGAGCACUGUUAAGGCUAGGGGGUCAUCCCGACUUACCAACCCUUUGCAAACUCCGAAUACCAGUAAGUACUAUCCGGGAGACACACGGCGGGUGCUAACGUCCGUCGUGGAGAGGGAAACAACCCAGACCGCCAGCUAAGGUCCCAAAUUACUACUAAGUGGGAAACGAUGUGGGAAGGCUCAGACAGCCAGGAUGUUGGCUUAGAAGCAGCCAUCAUUUAAAGAAAGCGUAAUAGCUCACUGGUCGAGUCGGCCUGCGCGGAAGAUGUAACGGGGCUAAGUAGUAAACCGAAGCUGCGGCAAUGUGCUUUUGCACAUUGGGUAGGGGAGCGUUCUGUAAGCGGUUGAAGGUGUGUGGUAACGCAUGCUGGACGUAUCAGAAGUGCGAAUGCUGACAUGAGUAACGAUAAAGGGGGUGAAAAACCUCCUCGCCGGAAGACCAAGGGUUCCUGUCCAACGUUAAUCGGGGCAGGGUAAGUCGACCCCUAAGGCGAGGCCGAAAGGCGUAGUCGAUGGGAAACGGGUUAAUAUUCCCGUACUUCUUACAAUUGCGAUGGGGGGACGGAGAAGGCUAGGUGGGCCUGGCGACGGUUGUCCAGGUUCAAGUGCGUAGGCUUAAGAGUUAGGUAAAUCCGGCUCUUUUUAAGGCUGAGACACGACGUCGAGCACCUACGGGUGUGAAGUCAUUGAUGCCAUGCUUCCAGGAAAAGCCUCUAAGCUUCAGAUUGUAAGGAAUCGUACCCCAAACCGACACAGGUGGUCGGGUAGAGAAUACCAAGGCGCUUGAGAGAACUCGGGUGAAGGAACUAGGCAAAAUGGUACCGUAACUU
rnacentral:rRNA from 1 species